UACGGGAGGCAGCAGUGGGGAAUAUUGCACAAUGGGCGAAAGCCUGAUGCAGCGACGCCGCGUGAACGAAGAAGUAUUUCGGUAUGUAAAGUUCUAUCAGCAGGGAAGAAAAACGACGGUACCUGACUAAGAAGCUCCGGCUAAAUACGUGCCAGCAGCCGCGGUAAU
rnacentral:rRNA from 1 species